ACGCUCCGUGGUUCACCCUGUAUAAGCAGACGAAGCAACACAUUGCAGGACCAACAUUAUGGUGUAGCGUCAAAUUGUUUGAAUUACAUCAGGUGAUGAGGCAUGAAUCAAUUGUUUCCAAAUAUAUUAACAAAGAUCGGAAAUGGCACAAAAUUGCAGAAUAAUGAGCAAGAAUUACUGGAGUCACGGUUCUUCACAAAGGAACAAACUGAACAACUCUGUCCUCGCGGUUUAGUCUUUUCUUAUCGAAUAAUUCAGUGAACGGUUAUAAUCAUUCUAUUCUUAGUAAUAUUGCAGAUAAUAUUGUAUCUCCAGCUACAGACGUAUACAUUGGGUAUCACAGCACAAAUCAGGAAGCUUUCAUACGACAAAAAAUACACAAAAUGUCAGUCAUAGACACCGGAAGUUUGCCGUAUGAAAUCACAUUAGUUAUCGCUAGAGUUUACAGACACAGCUAAAAUUGGUCAGAAAAUGAGAAGUAAAGUGAGCACUUACAUGCAACUUAACAACAUCAGACGAAGAGCUGUGCCCAUUGCACGCCGAACUUCAAAUAUUACUAUGAACAACAACAAAACCAUUUCUGUCAAAAGGAAUUAUUUUCCAGUUAUUGCUGCAUGCGCAGUCACUAUUCAUAAAUCGCAAGGAGAGUGACCACAAUCAAUGGACUCUACAUUGUUACGAAAGACGACAGCAAGGUGUUUCAUCAUGGCAGCAGGAAUGCAUCAUCAAUGGACGGAUCACUGUCGGAAUUUCGUAGACUCGCUCUGAAUCGAUUGUCGACAAUCGACAAUUUACUGAACGAGUUUAUCACCACCAGAAAAGGACUGGCAAUCUAUUCUUUCAACUGUUAGAGUUUACGGAAGCAUGCAGCAAGUCUCAACAGUUCAAACGAGAUAAUGUCAGAAAUGGUGGAGUUGCUAUAUACCAGAAGUCUAACAAUGCUACUGCGGUUCUGACGUCUAAUACGGACAUAACUUUACGACUAAUUACUUCACUGUGAGUUAAUGCUGCUGACGUUGGGGAAAUCUGUGCAGCUUGUUGCCUUUUGGACAACGGACAAAUGAUCAUGACUGUCGUUGUGUACAUAUCACCGAACCAGUCUAUUCCAAAAAUCAUGCAAUUUAUUCAUGAAGUUUUGGCUCUCUACACCCAUGAUGUCACAGCUAUAGUGAAUGUGGACUACGACAAGAUGCCAAUGAUUAUGAAUGGAGAUUUUAAUGUGAAUUUCGCAGCACCAGAAGCAAAGCCCUUGCUACAAUUUUUAGAAUUUAAAUUAAGCUUAACAAUGAACAAUGAUCCAGCUCUAUCUACAAUAAAAUAUGGAACAACAAUAGAUGCUGUAUUUUCACGAUAUUUAAACAAAUUACAAUCAACAGUUUAGGUGUCACACUUCAGUUAUCACAGACCACUACUGUCAGUCCUUGAAUACGAUUCCAUGGAAAUUAAAGAAUAAAUGUAUUUAUUCUUUUAUUUACUUAAUAUUACCCCUUCUCGACCUUAUCACCAGCUAAAGAAGUUUCACUUCUA